AUUGAACGCUGGCGGCAUGCCUUACACAUGCAAGUCGAACGGUAACAGAUCUUCGGAUGCUGACGAGUGGCGAACGGGUGAGUAAUACAUCGGAACGUGCCUAGUAGUGGGGGAUAACUACUCGAAAGAGUGGCUAAUACCGCAUGAGAUCUACGGAUGAAAGCAGGGGAUCGCAAGACCUUGUGCUACUAGAGCGGCCGAUGGCAGAUUAGGCAGUUGGCGGGAUAAAAGCUUACCAAGCCGACGAUCUGUAGCUGGUCUGAGAGGACGAUCAGCAACACUGGGACUGAGACACGGCACAGACUGCUACGGGAGGAAGCAGUGGGGGAUUUUGGACAAUGGGCGAAAGCCUGAUCCAGCAAUGCCGCGUGCAGGAUGAAGGCCUUCGGGUCGUAAACUGCUUUUGUACGGAACGAAAAGCCCCGGGUUAAUACCCUGGGGUCAUGACGGUACCGUAAGGAUAAGCACCGGCUAACUACGUGCCAGCCGCCGCCGUAA
rnacentral:rRNA from 1 species